AGCCAUGCGAUAAGCACAAAGCGAACUAUUCUUUCGCCUUUUACUAAAGAAUACCGUGUGCUUGUCGUUUUUAAUGGCAUACGCAAAUUUUUGAAAGGGAUGCUCUUGUCUGAGCU